GCUCUACUAACACUUCCAAAGGCCUUUCCUGCUCUCCUCUCUCAGCUUCUCCAGGCCUCUGUGCCCACAUGCACAGGCUUCCCUAAGCACAGUCUGGGGCUGGGUCCUCUCUUGCCCCUGCCUUCCUCUAUCUGGUUCUUUAUUAAAUGGAUUGGCCUGGCCUCUCUGUUCACACCCUGCCCCUCUUUCUCCUGUUUCUCAGUGCCCAUCUCACCUUUAUAUCAGUCAUGGUGGUGUCUGGUUAUACGUUAUAAAAAGCUCACUACAGUGGCCAAAACAAAUAAGAGGUUUCUUUUCCUCCCCAGGGAAGUCCAUGGCAAGGUCCUCCAUGGCCGGUCCAGCCACUCCUUUUGCUUUUCUGCCCUGCCAUUAAUGGACACUGCCAAGCAAUCUGAGAAACAUAGAAGAAAUAGAGCUCUGUUCCUGUCUUCAGGAGACAGCUGUCCUGGUGGUGAGAUAAAGGGAGGGAUAGAAAUUCAGAGACAGAAGAGAUGAGUGAAGGCUGGAGGAGAUGGAGGGGCUGCUUUUCGCCCUUUCUCCCUUCCCUCCCUCUUCCCCCCCUCCACCAUCCUUUCUCUUCUCAUAUUCUAUACCCAACCUCUUCUGAUCCCUGCUCAUCUCAGGCUUUGGAUCUUCCCAGUGUGAGAGGGAGUCAGGGUCAAUGACUGUAUUUGUUAUCUGGUACUGUGUAACAAAUUCUCCUCAAACAUUGUGACUUCAAGCAACAAUAACUAUUUCUUAUCUUUCAUGAUUUCUGUGGGUCAGGAAGGGAGGGGAGGCCAACCUGGCAUAUCAGAGUCUCUCAUGAGGUAGCCUCAAGAUGUUGUCUGGCGUCACUGAAGGGCUUGACUGGGAAUGGAGGCUUGCCUUUCCUGGCGGCUCACCCACAUGCUGGCAGUUUGGUGCCGGCCAUUGAUGGGAGGUCACACCCUCCUCAGCAGACCUUGGCCCACAGUCCUCAUGGCACAGUGGCUGGUUUCUCCCAGAGCAAGCAAGCCAAGACAGUGAGAGCUAGGUGGAAGCUGUCCUUUUCAUGACCUAUCCUCCUCAGAUGUCACAUAGCCUCACUUCUGUCCAUUCUGUUCUUCAGACCUGUGGCCCAGGUGUGGCCCGCCUUCAAGUGGAGGACAAUUAGCCUUCACCUUCUUAAGGAAGUUAUAUCAGCAGGUCUGCUGAAAAUUUAUUUUUUAUUUUUAAAAGUAACUUUAUUUCUUUCUUUGGGGGGAGUGUUUUUUUUAAAUUUUUUUUGGCUGUGCCUGUGGCAUGCGAAAGUUCCCAGGCCAGGGAUAGGACCCAAGCCACAGCAGUGACAGUACUGGAUCCUUAACCACUGAGCCACCAAAGAAGUCCUUCAGGCACUUUAGAAGAACCCUAUCUGUAGUUCAAGGGUCCCUGCUGAGGUCCUCAGCAUUCUCUCCACCUUCUGAGUCAGGAACAGUCCCCAUUGUGGAUGAAUGUCUCCAGGGAAUGUUGUGAAACAUGAUUUCUCAGUAACCAAGUCCCUGUUCCCCUGGGUAAGAAAGUUCUCAUCUUGAGUUGCUUUGUUGUAUGGUAGAAAUUCACACAACAUUGUAAAUCAGCUAUACUUCAAUAACAUUAAAAUAAAAAAAUUUAAAAAAGAAAGUUCUCUUCUCA
rnacentral:lncRNA from 1 species